rnacentral:rRNA from 1 species
UACGUAGGGGGGCAAGCGUUGUCCGGAUUUAUUGGGCGUAAAGAGCGUGUAGGCGGCUUUACAGGUCCGUUGUGAAAACUCGAGGCUCAACCUCGAGACGCCGGUGGAAACCGUAAAGCUAGAGUCCGGAAGAGGAGAGUGGAAUUCCUGGUGUAGCGGUGAAAUGCGCAGAUAUCAGGAAGAACACCAACGGCGAAGGCAGCUCGCUGGGACGGUACUGACGCUGAGACGCGAAAGCGUGGGGAGCGAACAGG